GACAGAGGGUGCAAACGUUGUUCGGAAUUACUGGGCGUAAAGCGUGCGCAGGCGGUUAUGUAAGACAGAUGUGAAAUGCCCGGGCUUAACCUGGGAACUGCAUUUGUGACUGCAUGGCUAGAGUUUGGCAGAGGGGGGUAGAAUUCCGCGUGUAGCAGUGAAACGCGUAGAUAUGCGGAGGAACACCGAUGGCGAAGGCAAUCCCCUGGGCCUGCACUGACGCUCAUGCACGAAAGCGUGGGGAGCAAACAGG
rnacentral:rRNA from 1 species